CGCGUAGGUGGGUUGGUAAGUCCGCUGUGAAAGCCCGGAGCUUAACUCCGGAGGGUCGGUGGAUACUACCAGUCUUGAAGGUGCUAGGGGGAAGUGGAAUUACCGGUGUAGCGGUGAAAUGCGUAGAUAUCGGUAGGAACACCAGUGGCGAAGGCGGCUUCCUGGGGCAUUCUUGACGCUGAGGCGCGAAAGCUGGGGGAGCGAACGGGAUUAGAUACCCCGGUAGUCCCAGCCCUAAACGAUGGAUACUAGGUGUCAGGGGUAUCGACCCCCCUGGUGCCGCAGCUAACGCAGUAAGUAUCCCGCCUGGGGAGUACGGCCGCAAGGUUGAA
rnacentral:rRNA from 1 species